GCAUAUGGUUGUCGCCGAUCUCUAAUGCAUUCUCCGUCCCAUUUUCCGUUCAGCGGAUUCAGUUUUAAUGCAGACGCUAUAAACUUGUUCCAUGUUGAUCUGCAUGCCAAUAAACAAAUUUACUAUGAAGAACCGAAUACGAAUCAAAACGGGGAGUUGAUCGAACACCGAGUUCAGCUUGAUCCGUAA